UCCGGUUUGACACCGGCAGUCUCUCAUGAGUCCCCGACAUUACUCGCUGGCUUUCACCAGCUUUACCCGGCAUGUCAAGCCCUGGUAAGGUUCUUCGCGUUGCGUCGAAUUAAGCCACAUGCUCCGCCGCUUGUGCGGGCCCCCGUCAAUUCCUUUGAGUUUUAGCCUUGCGGCCGUACUCCCCAGGCGGGGUGCUUAAUGCGUUAGCUGCGGCACGGAGAGGGUUGAAGCUCCCCACACCUAGCACCCAUCGUUUACGGCUGGGACUAC
rnacentral:misc_RNA from 1 species